rnacentral:piRNA from 1 species
UGACAGGAUAUCUCCAUAUUUCACUGC